rnacentral:rRNA from 1 species
UACAGAGGUGGCAAGCGUUGUUCGGAAUUACUGGGCGUAAAGGGCGCGUAGGCGGUCUUGUAAGUCUUGUGUGAAAUCCCUUGGCUUAACUGAGGAACUGCACGAGAUACUGCAAGACUUGAGAUCGGGAGAGAGAAGCGGAAUUCCGGGUGUAGCGGUGAAAUGCGUAGAUAUCCGGAGGAACACCGGUGGCGAAGGCGGCUUCCUGGACCGACACUGACGCUGAGGCGCGAAAGCUAGGGGAGCAAACGGG